rnacentral:lncRNA from 1 species
AAAAUGUUGUUUUUGUUUUAUUGUUUUCAAUGGAAAAUGUUGUUUUUAUUAGAUUGGCAUUUUGUGAAAUGGUAUAAUCAUGUUUUGCAAUGAAAUGAUAAGAUGUUGGAAACUAGUAAGUGGUUACAUUUUGUCUUUUCUGAUUUGACUGAUAUAUAGCUUAGUAAAACGUAACCACAAUAAGGCGUAUAGUCUCCAGCAAAGUUCGAACUUGGGACCAAAGGUUCAACAUCCUCACAACAAACCUUUGCUAACCAAGAGAGCUACGCAUGCA